GUUAAUUCGACGGAUAAGAUGUUACAGCGCAGAGUCAUCGAUAACGGACACACGCGCAUGCAAUACGCACAGAAAAGAUUUGUAAUUGAGAAAUUAGAAAACUUCUGGCAAUCUUGGAAUUUGGAACACAUAUUUUUGAAUUCAGAGGAAACAUUAUAGUUCUAAAACGGAUACAACGAAAUUAUUCCGCAAAUCGACAAAGCGAACUAUCCACCGUAAAUCGAGGUUAAAGCCUUUAUGUCCGAUCGAAGAGACAGAGAAACCACAAUAAAUCUACGUGUCCCUACGCUCGUUCCUGUAUAUCGAGCUACAAUUCCAAAGUAAAAUUCGUAGCGAUAUUACAGAUUCAGUGAUAGUACCGCAAAGUGUUACUGUUUCCAUGUCAAGUGCACAAUCGAGGGUUUCAAACUAUCACCUUAUACUGUACGACGUUAGAUAAACGAAACUUCAUACUCCAAACAGUCUUUGCGAGAAGCUUGUCGCACGAUAGGACACCAUGAUUCUGUUGUCGCGGGCACAUCAAAAACCGUACUCUAAUCUUUUGGUCUAGUUGUUGUUCCCUAGCAUAGCCGAGAAUUCGAG
rnacentral:misc_RNA from 1 species